UCCAUGUGUAGCGGUGAAUGCGUAGAUUAUAUGGAAGAACACCAGUGGCGAAAGCGGCUCUCUGGUCUGUAACUGACGCUGAGGUUCGAAAGCGUGGGUAGCAAACAGGAUUAGAUACCUUGGUAGUCCACGCCGUAAACGAUGAAUGCUAAGUGUUGGAGGGUUUCCGCCCUUCAGUGCCGCAGCUAACGCAUUAAGCAUUCCGCUAGGGGAGUACGAUCGCAAGAUUGAAACUCAAAGGAAUUGACGGGGGCCCGCACAAGCGGUGGAGCAUGUGGUUUAAUUCGAAGCAACGCGAAGACCCUUACCAGGUCUUGACAUCUUUUGCCAGGAUGAGAGAUCAGCUGUUCCCUUCGGGAACAAAAUGACAGGUGGUGCAUGGUUGUCGUCAGCUCGUGUCGUGAGAUGUUGGGUUAAGUCCCGCAACGAGCGCAACCCUUAUUGUCAGUUGCCAGCAUUUAGUUGGGCACUCUGAUAAGACUGCCGGUGACAAACCGGAGGAAGGUGGGGAUGACGUCAAAUCAUCAUGCCCC
rnacentral:rRNA from 1 species